UUUCCUCUUCUAAUCAGUUAAAAGCUGAGAGUUACAGAUCAGUUGACUCUAUCGUCUUCUUAACUCCAAAGAUCAAAGUUAUCGUCUUCUUAACACCAAAGAUCAAAGUGAGGCACGAUAUCUGACAUUAAAGGCAUGUUUACACUCUGUAAAACGGUGUAUCUGCACCUAUAUAAAGCUUAUAAUCCUUCACUUGAAUAUAUAGAUGUUCGUUUCUUCUCGAUCAGACCAAGCGCUCUCUACUUUGCAGUUAUAUGGAAGCGAUCUCUGCUCCACUUCAAAACCCUAAUCCUAUCCUCAUGAUCUCUCUGUCUCUCUCUCUCUCUUUCUCUCUUCUGGUCCUCUUUCUGCAACCACCUUGGAGAUUCCGAAGCCUGCUUCCGUUUAUGUAGAGGAGGUGCCGACUAAAUCUCCAACGAAAAAGGUCCUCUGUGUCUGAUAAUGGAGGAGACGAGUCUGAUUGGCCAACCACCACGACAGAGAUCAUUCUUUCAAUGCUGAGUGAGUUAAUGGAAAUUGGGAUCUGAAGCAAAUCGAGGCAAACAGAUCGGGAUUCAGUGAUAGUCGCUGGGAGAUGAGUGAUUGAUUGUUUAGUGUGUGCUAUUGCUUUACUUAUAGAGGCAAAGAGGAGAAAGUGGCUUGAAGAUAACUAAGAAACAACUACUAACUGUCUUUUCUCUUCGAAACCUCGAUUAUCCCAUUGUGGGCAUGGAUGAAGCAAUAUCAUCACAAGAAUAUCAACUCCUCAAUUAACGGUGAUUUCCAUAUCGUCUGUUUGAACUUUCAAGGUUGAAACAUGGGUUUGAAGAUGUUAUCCAAGAGAUUGAAUCUGAUGUCAGCUACUGGAGCAGGCGAAAAUUAUUUUCUACGGACGUACUUUUGGAGUAAUUGGGCUGAAAAGAAAGAGCUUUAUAGAUCCUUUGACCAAGAUAAUUAUGCAUAUUGUGUGUACGACAAGAACCAACCUGAUGAAAUUGAAGCAAACAUUUCUCAAGGAGAACUGAGAAGGUAGCCUUAGAAGCUAAAUAUCAGAAGUUGGUGUCAGGUUUUGUAUACGAAGGAUGGAUAACGAGUAAGCAAGCUGCCGGGGAAGAGUUUCAAAGAUGAAGACGAUAGAAAUUAAUACACAGAUUAAAAGGAUAGUAUGCAAGGUUGGAUGAAAAUGGUGAAGAUACUUAUAAAAGAUUAUUUGAAAUGAAAGGUCAUAAACUUACUUGAGGAACAUGUCGAGAAGCUGUAGGAAUUUGUAAAAAAAAACAGGGAAGCCCUAAGCUAAGUAAAACUAAAUCAGAAAUUCUUCAGAUUCUAGAUGAAGACAAAGAAAACGACGGAGUUUGUGGGCGGUGUGACAACAGUAGAGAGAAAUAGAAAACAAUAUGGCAUUAGGGAUUUGACAUAUAAGACUGGAGUUAAAAAUAGAUAUAGAUGAUUAUGAGCUCUAUAAUUUUAGCAAGUGUAAAACGAAAAAUGAGAAACUAGCUAGAGCAAUAAAUAAACUCUUAUAGAUAAUGAAAAGUGGCAGAAGACACAUAUGUCAAUGAUGUUUUCAUUUUUAAUAUGCAAA